rnacentral:rRNA from 1 species
GUCCACGCCCUAAACGUUGAUUACUCGAUGUGUGCGAUACACAGUACGCGUCUAAGCGAAAGCAUUAAGUAAUCCACCUGGGGGAGUACGGUCGCAAGACUGAAACUCAAAGGAAUUGACGGGGGCCCGCACAAGCGGAGGAGCAUGUGGUUUAAUUCGAUGAUACGCGAGGAACCUUACCCGGGCUUGAAAGUUAGUGAAUGUAGUGGAAACAUUACAGUCCGCAAGGACACGAAACUAGGUGCUGCAUGGCUGUCGU